rnacentral:rRNA from 1 species
UACGUAGGGUGCGAGCGUUAAUCGGAAUUACUGGGCGUAAAGCGUGCGUAGGCGGUUCGUUGUGUCUGUGGUGAAAGCCCCGGGCUUAACCUGGGAAUGGCCAUGGAAACUGGCGAGCUGGAGUGUGGCAGAGGGGGGUGGAAUUCCGCGUGUAGCAGUGAAAUGCGUAGAGAUGCGGAGGAACACCGAUGGCGAAGGCAGCCCCCUGGGCUAACACUGACGCUGAGGCACGAAAGCGUGGGGAGCAAACAGG